GGGCCCGUAGCUCAGCUAGGUAGAGCGCCCGGCUCAUAAAGUUUGGUGGAGUUCAUUGAGAGACCGGGUGGUCGAGGGUUCAAAUCCCUCCGGGCCCA
rnacentral:tRNA from 1 species